rnacentral:rRNA from 1 species
GAUGAACGCUGGCGGCGUGCCUAAUACAUGCAGGUCGAGCGAACAGACGAGGAGCUUGCUCCUCUGACGUUAGCGGCGGACGGGUGAGUAACACGUGGAUAACCUACCUGUAAGACUGGGAUAACUUCGGGAAACCGGAGCUAAUACCGGAUAAUAUAUUGAACCGCAUGGUUCAAUAGUGAAAGACGGUUUUGCUGUCACUUAUAGAUGGAUCCGCGCCGCAUUAGCUAGUUGGUAAGGUAACGGCUUACCAAGGCAACGAUGCGUAGCCGACCUGAGAGGGUGAUCGGCCACACUGGAACUGAGACACGGUCCAGACUCCUACGGGAGGCAGCAGUAGGGAAUCUUCCGCAAUGGGCGAAAGCCUGACGGAGCAACGCCGCGUGAGUGAUGAAGGUCUUCGGAUCGUAAAACUCUGUUAUUAGGGAAGAACAAAUGUGUAAGUAACUAUGCACGUCUUGACGGUACCUAAUCAGAAAGCCACGGCUAACUACGUG